CGUAUCAUGACUCUUUUUGGACGUCACCACAUAAAAAAGUCAACACAAGAUGUCAAAACAGCCAAAACUGUCAGGUGCCCAGGGAAGAAAAAAGAGAAAAGAAGAGGAGGAGAAACAAGAAAAAGACAGAAUUCUAAGUAACAGGAAGGGGCUGCUACCAGAGCCCAACCUAGCUCAGCUGUUGACCAGUAUGACAAAUCCUGCAGCCUUGCAAAUCCUCAUGAGACCUUUUUACACUGGGAAAAGAGGAGUGUCCUGCAAAACAGUGCAAAUUGUGAGACUGUGAGUCCACUUGGGUCACGGGAUUAUCAGUUGGAAGGCACAGUUCUGAGCACUUCUCGCAGGUCUGAAAAAAUGUGUCGAUACGGAGCGAUAUAAGACCUUGAUACAGUUGUCAGCCAGUCUUCAGCAGCGAGGCGCACGGUCCUGGGGGUCGGCCUCGCGGCCAAAGAGACUCUUGAGGAAGACCAGCUGCAGGUAACCCGAGACCACCACCAGGAGGCUGAGCGCCGCCGACCACCAGGUGACGUAGCGGGCGUUGGACAUCAGCAGGUAGUAGUCGGCGCUCUUCCUCAUGCGGCCGAAGUUGUAGUAGCGAAACAUGUGGAAGACGUGGUUCUCCACCUUGUGGGCGGAGUCCUGAAACGAGAGCCAAUUAGUCUCCGCCCCCCUUUUCUGCCGGUGUCCGGGUGUGGCGCGAGAACCUGGAUGAUGCUCAGCGUGUCGUUCAGCCGCUCGGACGCGUCGUCUUUCUUCACGCCGCCGCCGCCCUCGCCCUCGCCGUCCGGGCGGUGCUCGUCGUAGUAGACGCCGAAGCUGAGGAACACCUGCAUUGUUCCCAAGCGGUUGUGGAAGUUGCUGAAACACAUCUGGUAGAAACCUGGGGUGAGAGAAA